UUCUUUGAAGUGCAGGUUGUCUUGUAUGUCUCACCUUUUGUUGUCUUUGAUGCUGGCAAUAGCAUUUGUUGUUGCAAUGUGCUCAAGGCUUUUUCUUAAGGGGGGGAGCAAUAAUGGACACCUGCUUUUUGAGAUUGCUCAUGUUCCUUUAACACCCUGUGCACUAUAAGCAAAGCUUUGUUCCUGCAAGUCAAAUCUAUGUUGUGAUUUAGCAUCUAUUUUGUUGCAUAUGGGCCCUCUAUCAUAUAUUGACCAGCUCAAGGAAUUAUUGUGUUAAUAACAAUGUUCCAAAGCAAAAAUGGGGAGUAUGUGUAUGGGGUUUUUGCACAUGCAAUGGUAUAUAUAUGCAUGCAUAUAAUCACAAAAAGAUGACUUUAAAGGGAUAUAUUGGCUUUGUCUUCAUAUAAACCCUUGUAAUUGUCUUGUACAAUGAAAAUGGCUCAAUUGUGAGCAAAAAAUUCAUACAACUUUCAACAAUGGAUCUCUUGGCUCUUGCAUCGAUGAAGAACGCAGCGAAAUGCGAUAAGUAAUGUGAAUUGCAGAAUUCAGUGAAUCAUCGAAUCUUUGAACACACCUUGUGCUCCUUGGGUUACCUAUGGAGCAUGCCUGUUUGAGUGUCAUGUUAAUCUCAAUUCCUUCAGGCAUUUUUUGUACAAACAAGAAAAGGCCUGCUCAAGGUAAAUUGGAUUUGGAGGUUUUCAUGCAGGUUCCCCUUUUGUAGGGAAUCAGCUCCUCUUAAAAAUAUUAGCUGGAGGGAUAAUGCAAAAUGGCUUCUUAGCAUUGUUCAUUGGCUUAUGGUGUAAUAA
rnacentral:rRNA from 1 species